rnacentral:rRNA from 1 species
AUUGAACGCUGGCGGCAGGCCUAACACAUGCAAGUCGAGCGGAAGAAGGGAGCUUGCUCCUGGAGUCAGCGGCGGGAGGGUGUGUAAUGCCUAGGAAUAUGCCUGGCAGUGGGGGAUAACGUCCUGAGACGGGCGCUAAUACCGCAUACGUCGUGAGGGAGAAAGAGGGGGGGCGUCGGACCGCACGCUAGCAGGGGAGCCGAGGUGGGAUUAGCUAGUUGGUGGGGUAAAGGGCUUCCCAGCCGACGAUCCGUAACUGGUCUGAGAGGAUGAUCAGUCACCUCGGAACUGGGCCACGGUCCAGGCUCCUACGGGAGGCAGCAGUGUGGAAUAUUGGACAGUGGUCGGAAGCCUGAUCCAGCCAUGCCGCGUGUGUGACGGAGGUCUUCGGAUUGUAAAGCACUUUUAGUUGGGAGGAAGGGCAGUAAGUUAAUACCUUGCUGUUUUGACGUUACCAACAGAAUAAGCACCGGCUAACUUCGUG